rnacentral:lncRNA from 1 species
GUGGCCAAUGGGAAGCAUUGGAAGGCGAUCAGAUGAUGAAGGAGAGAGAAGUUGGGAAAUCUGAAAAAUCUCAAAAGUACAAUGAAUAAUGAUGCAUGUUCAUACACUCACCAAUCAGAAUUGAAGAUUGUUAAAAUUUUCACCAAUUGAAAUAAAAGAAGUAAAGGAUUACGGCGAAUGAUAAAGUCCUCCACUGGCAGUAUUGUUCUUGCUCCAAACCCAGAGAGUCACCAUGAGGAAGUCCAUUUUCAAGAACUUGGGAGGUUUCAGUUGCAGUGGAUUAUAAGAGGCACUGGAACAGCUGAUAUACUGAGGUGCCAUUAAGAAUUAUAUCACCACCGAAGCAUAAUCUUGCUGUAGACAUGAUUGCUUUGGGCGUAGGCUCCCAUGUCAGUGCCAAAAACGCUAAGACUUGGAGAAAGGAGAGGAGAAAGUAGAGCUACUUCCUCUGUAUGCUUUGCUGCUUGGAAAGGAGACAGAAAAACAGCAGGAAAUGCUCACUUCUUCUCUUGGGAUCUUUCAGGGACCUCCCACCUGAACAGGACGAUUGAACUUUGCUUUGCGAUGACACAAGCGACAUCUUGGAAGAGGCAAAACUUGAGACAGGUCUUCAAGGAUUGGUGCCAUCUGGACAGGUUGAAGAGGAGUAGGAGGGCUUUCGGAUGUGGAGAAUGGCAUGCACAAAAGCACGGAGCAACACUUUAUGCCAGUUGGAUUAUGGUCCAUUGGGAGAAAGAUCAAUUAAGGUGAAACCCCAGUAGAGAAAGCACUGGAGAACAACAUUCAUUCUUCCUUAAUAAAUCUUAGUUUUAAAUAUUUGCUUUGAGUUUUGUUCCAUUAAUAAAGAAAAUAAGAAGGAAAACCAACCAAUAUUUUGUUUUUCCAUAUGCCGUAGUGGAAUCCUGAAGUUGUUGAAUUGAAUUAAUGCUUGAUUCAAUGUGAGGAAUGGACAAAAGACAUGCAGAGAUUCAAGUUCCCUCCGUAAUCUGGUAUUUAUUCAUCAAUCCAUCCAUCCAUCUAUCUAUUCAUCCAUCCAUCCACCCACUCACCCACUCAUCCGGCCAUUCACCCACCCACCUAUCCUCUUACCAUUAGGAAAUUCUUUUAUGUUAAGUGCUAUAAGAGCCAAUUCCUCUUUUUCAGUAAAUGGAGAAGAACAAUUUGUAUUAUAAGAAUUAGUGUGGGUUAGAUUAUUUAUAUCAUCUUUCCCUGGUGAGGGUUCAUGUCUAGGUGUUUCAGACUAGCAUUUUUCCUUGGGUAAUUUCCACUUUCCCUUUGUAAGCUGAUACUUUUACUACAUGUAAGGUCAUAAACUGUUGUUUUGUAAAAAAUAUUUUGACAUGGAUGAACAAUUUGGAGUGUAGAUAUGAAGACAUAAAAGAUAACUUGAAAAAAUCAGACUGAUUCUAACAUUUAUGUAGAGAGGUAAAUAAUCAAGAAUAAUUAGUAACAUUCUGAAAAAGAAGGGUAGCAAGAAGUGACUAUCCUAUUAUUAAAUCUUAUAAAAACUCAUUAAGACAGCAUGGUAUUGGCAUAAGAAUAAAAAGACAUCAUUGGAACAGAAUUGAAAGUUUAGAAAUAGACCUAAAUACAUACAAUAGUUUAAUAUAAGGCAAAGUUUACAUCUAAAAUCAGUAAAGAAAGAUUAAUCAGGGAAUGAGGACAACUAAGUCACACAUCACACCCUACAGUAUAAGUUCCAAAUGAAGAAAAUAUUUAAUGUUAAAAAGGAAAUACUGAAAAUACAAACACGUACAAAAAUUAUUUUAUAAUUACAGAGGAGGGAAAGGCCAUAAGUCAUAAAAUGAAAGAUUGAUUAAAAAUAAAGUACUUGCACCUGGUGAAAAACACCAACAUCAAAGUUCAAAGAUAAAUGACAAGCCAGGAAAAAUAUUUGCAAUUCUGUCAAAGUGUGAAUUUCUCUACUCUUAAAGGAGGCAUACAAACUGAUAAGAAAAAGACCAAUAUCAAACAAAUAGCAGAAAAAGAAUAGAAUAGUCAUGUUUAUACAAAGGGAAAUUUACAAAGAAAGAUCAUUUACAUUGCUUUAAAAAAGAGAAAUGCAAAGCAAAGCAUAACUGAGAUACAAUUUCACCUGUCAAAUUGGCAAAGAUUCAAAAGUUUGGUAAUACCUGGUAUUGGCCACAGUAUUGGCACAAACAGGCUUUCAAAUACAAAUAGUGGGGAUGUAAAUGGCAGAAGUUGGCAAACGAUGGCUUGUGAGCUCAAUUCAGCCUGCUGCUUGCUUUUGUACUGCCCAAGACCUAAGAACCAUUUUUAAGUAGUUGAAAAAAAUCAAAAUAAUAUUGUAUCGUAUCGUAUUGUAUUGUAUUUUACUGUACUGUAUUGUAUUGUAUAUUGAACAUUUGCUAAGAAUAGAUUUUAGGUGCUCUUAUUACACACACACACAAGGUAGCUAUGGAAGGUGAUGCAUAGGUUAAUUUGCUUGAACAUGUUAAUCAUUUCACUAUACAUAUGUGUAUGAAAACAAUCAUGUUGUAUACUGUAAGUAUAUAUCAAUAAAAUAAAACAUUUUGUGACACAUGAA